GGGGGCGUAAGGAUUCGACGGGGGUAAUCGAGACCCGGAGAUGCAUGCCGGGGCGCCGCAACCCCGUAAAAAGCGGCACGAAAUAACUGCCAACUGUAACUAUGCAAUGGCUGCCUAAGAGAUGAGCAGCCCGUCCCUUCCGGAGUGUGUCCCCGAGCUCUGGAAGAGGGCGUCAUAGAGUCGGGGACAUCACCUCGAGGAGUUCGCCGAGCGGCCUCGAGGGGCGUUUUAGCUCGGCAACCCUUCUCCAUAAGCUCCGCCGCCCACUCGGAGCGGAGAAGGGCAUCGAAAAGUGGGCUAAGCAUGUAGAGUCUCCGGGCUUGUGCCCUCGGACGGGGGUUCGAUUCCCCCCGCCUCCAUUC
rnacentral:tmRNA from 1 species